rnacentral:rRNA from 1 species
UACGGAGGGUGCAAACGUUGCUCGGAAUCAUUGGGCGUAAAGCGCACGUAGGCGGGUUGUCAAGUCGGAUGUGAAAGCCCUCGGCUUAACUGAGGAAGUGCAUUCGAAACUAGCAGCCUUGAGUACAGAAGAGGGUCGCGGAAUUCCCGGUGUAGAGGUGAAAUUCGUAGAUAUCGGGAGGAACACCAGUGGCGAAGGCGGCGACCUGGGCUGAUACUGACGCUGAGGUGCGAAAGCGUGGGGAGCAAACAGG